UACCAGCACCCCGAGUGGUCGGGACGAUUAUUGGGCCUAAAGCAUCCGUAGCCGGUUUUACAAGUCCUCCGUUAAAUCCAGCUGCUUAACAGAUGGGCUGCGGAGGAUACUAUAAGACUAGGAGGCAGGAGAGGCAAGCGGUAGUCAGUGGGUAGGGGUAAAAUCCGUUGAUCCAUUGAAGACCACCAGUGGCGAAGGCGGCUUGCCAGAAUGCGCUCGACGGUGAGGGAUGAAAGCUGGGGGAGCAAACCGG
rnacentral:rRNA from 1 species